rnacentral:rRNA from 1 species
UACGUAGGUGGCGAGCGUUGUCCGGAUUUACUGGGCGUAAAGAGCGCGCAGGCGGCUGGUCAAGUCCGAUGUGAAAGCUCCCGGCUUAACUGGGAAAUUGCAUCGGAAACUGAUCGGCUGGAAGGUGGGAGAGGGUAGCGGAAUUCCCGGUGUAGUGGUGAAAUGCGUAGAGAUCGGGAGGAACAUCAGUUGCGAAGGCGGCCACCUGGACCAGCACUGACACUGAGGCACGAAAGCGUGGGGGAGCAAACAGG